rnacentral:rRNA from 1 species
CGGAGGGUGCAAGCGUUGUCCGGAUUUAUUGGGUUUAAAGGGUGCGUAGGUGGCUCUAUAAGUCAGUGGUGAAAGUCUGCAGCUUAACUGUAGAACUGCCAUUGAUACUGUGGAGCUUGAGUACUGAUGAGGUAGGCGGAAUUGAUAGUGUAGCGGUGAAAUGCAUAGAUAUUAUCAAGAACACCGAUUGCGAAGGCAGCUUACUAAGGAGUUACUGACACUGAGGCACGAAAGCGUGGGGAUCAAACAGGAUUAGAUACCCUGGUAGUCCACGCCAUAAACGAUGAUUACUCGAUGUAUGCGAUAGACAGUAUGCGUCCAAGCGAAGCGUUAAGUAAUCCACCGUGGGGAGUACGACCGCUAAGGUUAG